rnacentral:rRNA from 1 species
CAGCCGCCACGGUAAUACGGAGGGUGCAAGCGUUAAUCGGAAUUACUGGGCGUAAAGCGUGCGUAGGCGGUUUGUUAAGUCUGCUGUGAAAUCCCCGGGCUCAACCUGGGAAUGGCAGUGGAUACUGGCAAGCUAGAGUGUGCCAGAGGAUGGUGGAAUUCCCGGUGUAGCGGUGAAAUGCGUAGAGAUCGGGAGGAACAUCAGUGGCGAAGGCGGCCAUCUGGGACAACACUGACGCUGAGGCACGAAAGCGUUGGGAGCAAACAGGAUUAGAUACCCCCGUAGUCCCUGUCUCUUAUAA